UGGAGCCUGGCGUCGAGGACUCGCAGUGUGUUGGCCGCCUCGAUGCCGGGGAAUAAUGCCGGGGAGAAGCCAGUUCCUUCCCAUCUGAGGGUCCAUCCUGCCAGCAGAGCUGAGCGACAUGUGGACAGCCCCUUCCUCGGAGACACACGCAGAUGAACUCAGAGCAGCGAGCCCUGUGCUUGCCAGAGUCAUGUCUGCGUGGUUUGAGGCUUAAAAUUGUAACCAGAGCAACAUUGUUGGACAAUUGGACCUUGUUUUUCAACCUGCUCUCAUCAGGCUAUAGUGGCUUACAGCCCUGGACAUGACUCAGAGAUGGUCACGUGUCUGCAGUGUCACCCUUCCAGUUCCAUCCGUGUUGCUGCAAAUGGCAAGAGCUCAUCUUGUUUCACAGCUGAGUAGUGUUCCACCGUGUGUAGACCACAUCUUCCUGAUCCACUCCCCCGACCUUAGGCCCUUGGGCUGUCUCCACAGUGGGGCCAUCGUAAAUCGUGGUGCAGAGAGCAUGGGCGUGCAGCUCUCCCUUUGAGCGGGUGACUCUGCAUUCUCCAGGUAAACCCCUCACUGUAUUUUUUUCCCUGCC